rnacentral:rRNA from 1 species
GACGAACGCUGGCGGCGUGCUUAACACAUGCAAGUCGAACGGAAAGGCCCUGCUUUUGUGGGGUGCUCGAGUGGCGAACGGGUGAGUAACACGUGAGUAACCUGCCCUUGACUUUGGGAUAACUUCAGGAAACUGGGGCUAAUACCGGAUAGGAGCUCCUGCUGCAUGGUGGGGGUUGGAAAGUGUCGGGGGUUGGGGAUGGACUCGCGGCUUAUCAGCUUGUUGGUGGGGUAGUGGCUUACCAAGGCUUUGACGGGUAGCCGGCCUGAGAGGGACCGGCCACAUUGGGACUGAGAUACGGCCCAGACUCCUACGGGAGGCAGCAGUGGGGAAUAUUGCACAAUGGGCGGAAGCCUGAUGCAGCAGCGCCGCGUGCGGGAUGACGGCCUUCGGGUUGUAAACCGCUUUCGCCUGUGACGAAGCGUGAGUGACGGUAAUGGGUAAAGAAGCACCGGCUAACUACGUG